CAAAUCCCUAAAAGCCAUCUCAGUUCGGAUUGCAGGCUGCAACUCGCCUGCAUGAAGCUGGAAUUGCUAGUAAUCGCGGAUCAGCAAGCCGCGGUGAAUACGUUCCCGGGCCUUGUACACACCGCCCGUCACACCAUGAGAGUUGGCAACACCCGAAGUCGGUAGUCUAACCGCAAGGAGGACGCCGCCGAAGGUGGGGUUGAUGAUUAGGGUUAAGUCGUAACAAGGUAAC
rnacentral:rRNA from 1 species